UUUCCAUACCAGUUAGCUGAAUUCGACGUUAGUCUUACAUACAUGAGUGUCUUCUGUUUCACGCAUGAUGUAUUAUUUCAUCCUUAAUUUGUUCACCGAAUAUUAAAAAAAGGAUAAAACGAUAUAAGAAUGCAUAUCAUGCGUGAAACAGAACGCAUCUCAUUUAACCUGCCUUUUUGCUUUAACUUAUAUCGCGAGUGAGAUCGAAACCCAAAGCCAUCUUUGUAUCGAAUGUUCUUUUUCGCAUUGUUCUUCUACGACAUAACGAAGUAUAUACGAGUGCGGGAUUAACGACGAAAGUAUCGUAUAAAGUAUUGAGCGAUCGUGUGUGUGUGUGUGUGUGUGUGUAUGCACAAGGAUGGAAUCUGGAGGCCCGGGAGACAUCAGACGACGGUGGAGCAACCGUGAGAUCAACGUAGACGCAACUCCACCGCUACGCAUUAUCUCUUUCGAUCUUCGUGGGAGGCUGCGCAGCGCGUAAAGAUAAACAUCCAUACGCAAGAAUAACAUCUUCUAGAUCCCUCUAAUCACAACACUCGGAAGAUACUCCGUACAUAAGCGAGGAACAUGGGUAAACGCAACACGUUGGGAAAUAUGUAUAAAAAAAGGAAAGGAAAGGAGCUAGCAACCUUGAUCAGCUCUCACGUGCAGCAAAAUUUACAUGGACGUGGAGAUGGAGGGUCCCGGAGGUUCAAUUACGAGAUUGCCAAUAUGCAAGCGACAUGGCGGUGGCGGCCAUCGCUUUGGCUGAUGAGGCUAAUGGAUGGUUGAAACCUGAGAAGAACGGCAAAGAGGAAAAAGAGGCCAAGGGAGAGGCCCCUGACAGCCACUAAGUGCGCUCCGUCCUUCUCCACCCUUCCCCAAUUCCCCCUUCCUUUCUCGUCCUUUCGGUCCCAGCCCUGUUCUCUCUCGCCUCUGCAACACUCUGCCCGCUGCGGAUGCCCUUAUGUGAAACCUAAUCACUUUUAGCGCGCGUCACGGAUAUUUCGUAUUAUGUCUACAUUGCGUUCUCCGGUAUCGGCUGACUUUAUCAGCCGUCUCUCUACAGUUCAACCUUUCCCUCAUCUCCCUUCAUCCCCUUCGUUCGUAGAAUCAAGUCGCGCGUGCAGCAAACCCUAAUCGGCUGAUGUGUUUCUCAAGGAUAGAUCAUGGAGCCAAUUUCUGAAAGAACGUUAAAAAAAUCU